rnacentral:rRNA from 1 species
UACAGAGGGGGCAAGCGUUAUUCGGAAUUAUUGGGCGUAAAGGGCGCGUAGGCGGCCUGUUAAGUCGAACGUGAAAUCCCCGGGCUCAACCCGGGAACUGCGUCCGAUACUGGCAGGCUUGAAUUCGGGAGAGGGAUGCGGAAUUCCAGGUGUAGCGGUGAAAUGCGUAGAUAUCUGGAGGAACACCGGUGGCGAAGGCGGCAUCCUGGACCGAGAUUGACGCUGAGGCGCGAAAGCCAGGGGAGCAAACGGG